AGGGUUGUGGCUCAGUGGUAGAGUGCUUGCCUGGCAUGUGUGAGGCCCUGGGUUCAAUCCUCAGACCCUA
rnacentral:tRNA from 1 species